rnacentral:rRNA from 1 species
AUGCUCGCCAACGAGUACUCGUGCGCGGCGAACCGGUGCUUCGGGGUGGCCGGCGCCGGAGAGGAGUGCUCGGAGAUGGGGCGCGACGUGCUGGCGGCGAGGGGCCUCACGGCGGAGGAGCGGUGGACGGGAGUGCAGGUGCUGUUUGGAUUUUUCCUCCUCUACCGGGUGCUCUACUGGGUCGUGCUCAGCCGGAGAGCGUCCAGAUCCAAGAGUGCGUAUACGAGUGUGUGUGAACGCAUGCAUGGAGAAGAAGGAGCCGCCGCCGACCGCUUCGAGUUGCCCACCGCACGCAACCCCAAGGGCCGCUCCGACCUCCCCGACAUUGACAAGCUCGCCUACUACCUCUGCGAUGAUAGCGGCGCGCUCCUCACCUUCGACGCGCUCGCCGAGACCGCCAGCUUCGCGCGCACGUGGGUGCAGUUCUGCCGGAAGCACGGCGUCGAGCCGCGCUGCCCAGAGUCAUACUUCGGCCAGAAGCGGGAUUUCCUCAAGAACAAGGUGUGGCUGGACUUCAUCCGUGAGAGGCAGAAGGUGAAGUGGGAGUACGACGAGUUCAAGGUGCGGGUCAACUCGCUGACAGAUGCGAUCCAACGGCGCUCUGACGCGUACAAAUACAACGCCGGCGAGGAGCUGCGAGCAAGAAGGCGCCUUCAAGAGGAGGCCGUGGCUGCCAGUGGCGCGCUGGGAGCAGCUUCGUUCGCAGAGACUAGGGCCGUGAAGGCGACAUGGAUGUCUGACGGCUCCCAGUUGCCCGGCACUUGGCUCCGGCACGAACGAGCUUAUGAACAGUACGAAGGAGUUGGCCAUGAGCACCACCGCCCACACCGCCAGCACAAACACUGCGAAUGCCGCCGGCGACGGGCAGAGGCCGACGGGGAAGUAGACGCACGAGGAGUAGAGCAACGCCACCGCCAGGAGGUACGGGAGGAACACCAUCGUGCCGCCGCGGUGGCAUGGGUGGACAGCCGGUACAGACCUGCCGCCGUCUCAGCGAGCACGAUCAGCCGCUCCAUGAGAGUAAAUUGCUCAAAGCCACCACAUUUGUGGUUAGAGUACUUCAAAACUACCGUUUUGUCCAAAAAUCACAAAAAACCAUCACUUUUGUGGCAAGUGAAUCACAAAGUGCACUGA